UUCAACGGCCGCGGUAUCCUGACCGUGCGAAGGUAGCACAAUAAUGAGCCUCCUAAUUAGAGGAUAGAAUGAAUGAAUCAACGAAAAAGAUACUGUCUCAUAGACAACAAUUGAAAUUUAUAUGUAGGUGAAAAAGCCUACAUAACAAUUAAAGACAAGAAGACCCUAUAAGCUUUUUAAAGAAUUAAUAACCCAAAUUAAAUUUUUAUUUAGUUGGGGCGACUAAAAGUAAAAAACACUUCAUAUUCCCUA
rnacentral:rRNA from 1 species